GUCCCUGGCUCAGUUGGUAGAGCAUGGUGUUUGCAAUGCCAGGGUUGUGGGUUUGAUUCCCACGGGGGACC
rnacentral:tRNA from 1 species